CCCUCAGGAGGACUGUGCCGGUCAGCUCCAUGGAGUUUCAGUCAAGGAGUUUCUGAGCCUAUGGAUCUACAAUAUUUGACUGCCUGGGGCA
rfam:Otolemur garnettii contig071181, whole genome shotgun sequence.